UUAUUUAUUUAUUUGUUGGAGGAAUUAUUAUGUUAAUAUAAUUAAAAUAUUUAAAUCACACUUGCCAAACUUCUGCUGAAACAUAAGUACUCAGUACAAAUGAAACAGACUUUUUCCCGUCGAUCAUUGCACACGACGAUGUUCAUAACUUGCAUGAAAUCGUUGUGCUGUUGUACGCAACACAACAUCUAAGAGCGAGGCAAAGCUCAUGUUCCGCCACACCAAUACAAGAGCGAGUGGCUUAAGCGACGCUAGCUUGAGUGGUCACUCAUGCGCGAGGAAAAUAAAGAAGCCAGGUUUCGUGGAAGAAUCGCGAGAAUUAGCUGACUCAACCUUGAAACAAAGAGCGGACAAUUAUGACUUGUUUAGCUGUAGGACUGGGGGUCUGGGGAAAUUCGCGGUUCAAAAAGAACCUUAUUGGCUUCGGCAAAUAUUGUUCUCCUGGAGGAAAGGGUUAAUUGUUUGAAGCAACCGUCAUACUUUUUGCUCGUUCACUUUGACCCAAUCUGUGGAAGAGGCAGGAGUGCGAUUUUGAAAUCGCGUCGCGGUGUGUUUUUGAAUUGUUGCUUUUUUGUAUAGGGAAAAUUAACGAAGAAAUUCAAAUUUACCAAGGUUUCGUUAAGUGUCUGUGCUUUGAAAUAAAGCUCCAAAAGCCGUUCGACGGCGGUUUAUUUAGGGUUGAUUUCCUGAGAACCAACACAUCCUUCGAGGCUCGGCACACCGCAGAGGACAACGUGACGCACUGCUGACCCCACGAUCUGGAGUCAAAGUUCCCGACAAAGCCAUUUCCGUCGGAAGGGAGUGCUACGCUAUAACAGCACUCCGGGCAGAGCCAGUUUGAAUUCAAACCGUGAGUACCCUAACCCGUUAUAACAUGCGCAUGUGGGUGGGUAUUUCUUAUUGAACGGUAAAUGA